GGUACGUUUGUUCGUUUGUUUAAUUAACAAUCCAUUAAUGACAUUAAAAACUACGGUAUAAACUUUUAAAAGCGCUAUGUUUUUAUUGUUAAAUACAUAAUUAAUUGUUUUUUUUUUCUUGUUCGUUCUUGAAAAAGUGUUUUGCCGUGUACUGCACUAAGAAAAGGUCUGAUGCUGGCCGCUUAGUAAGUUAACGGUAUAUAGGGAGGGUUUCGUGUUGACCGUUAUAUCUUUUAGAAGGGAAAGUGACAGAGCCCUGUAACCCCAGAUGUACUGUAUAUGUGUCUUUUUUACUUUUAUUGUUUAGAAUGAACCCUCCGAUCGGCAGAAGGAGACUGGGUCUUCAUCUCCUGUUCCGUUAACACGCACACAACCAUUGUAGCCCGUGUGUCCAACACUCCGGGUUGGCACUGGCUAAAAUAUUUCCUUGUGUGUGUUUAACACCCUUAAAUUACAUAAACAUCGUAUUAACAAACGUCACAGACAAAAUAAAAGAGUUCACGUAUACCUGAAUAAUAAAAGCCAAAAAGACACAUGUACAGCACAUCUUUUUUACACAUCGGUGUAAAUGACAGUAAUGUAGGUUUCCUAUAUUCUUUCUCUAUAUUAACCUUUUAUAAUAGGAACUAACUGGUUCAAUUAAAUUAUGAUGUGUGAAAUUUUCGGAUUUGUUACAGAAUGGCUUUUAUGCUCAUUCAGUGGAUUGAGGACCCACCCUCAUGGGACGUCCUUCCCAACAACCAAAAUCAUUAAUGGAAUUUGCAAGAUCAACAGUGUAUGCGAUGUAUCUUAUGGAAAUGAAACAAGCCCAGCAAAGAUACUGCAUAUAGGUUGGUGUUUCUACACUGUAAAAAAUUAUACAUUGAAAACGUUCAGCAUGUAUAAAAAACUAAGUUGCUGCAACUUUAAGGCGUGGGUUAUAUUGUGACAAUGGUUUUAAUCUUACUCUCUCAAUUUUCAAGAUUUUUUUUUGUGUAAAUUCAAGAAAGUUCUUUGGUCCAAAAAAACGAGUUGCUCUCUUUAGUACGACGUAAAAUGUCACGUGAGCAUUAACUGUCGAACAGGUGACCAUCUAGAAAAGACGCCAUUUCGCGCCCUUUUAACUUGAAGACGCACUUAAACGACUGGAUGCAGGACACUUCUGCGAGGGCAUACUUACCAAGGAGUUGAUAUGGAGGCUGCCUCGUUUGGGCAGCUGACUUGUUGGAAACCAAAGUUGGCAUGAAAAUGGGCAUCCUGGAGACCACUGAAGAUGGGGCAGUCCCACCCAAGUCAGUGAACAGCAUAAUUGUGCUGGAGGAGACUGUUGUCCUUGAGGGACUCACUGACUAUCCAACUGCAUUUGGACUGCUUUUUGGGCUUAUUUAUGCCCUCAACAUUGAAUUCCCCAAAGAAUGGAAAUAUACAUUUGAGACCAUUCAGAAGGUUUUCCUUUUUCUUGGAGAGUACUGCUCAGCCCGAACACUGUCUCUGAAGAACAGACUGUUAAAGAGCUAGAGCGCUCAAUUUCUUGCACCUUUUUUUUUUUUGAAUGACCUGAUGUCCUAGUAAAUCCAUGUUUUGUUGUGAUUACAGAAAUGUUUCGUCAGCCGUUUACUGAAGGAUAACCUGCAGAAUUUAGUUGCAGUAAAUUUAUAAUGGGAUCUUCAUUGUGUCAGAGCUGAAUUGUGUAUUUCAUACUUCUUUAUUUAUAGCUUUUUUUUGCUGAAAUGUUUGCAAAAUUUAUCUGCACAUGGCACUCUUAUGGUACAUGAGAAAAAAAAUUAAAAAGGGGUAGCUUUCUUAGUUCCUUUAGAAUUUAUUAUGGGUUCCUAAUUGUGUUACAGUUGCAUUUUUGAGGUCAUCCCUUCUUGUGUGCUUUAUUGAAUUGUUUUUUUGAAAUGUUGUAAAAUUGAUACAGUACACGUUGUAUUCUCUCAUGGAAGUAUGCUAAAAAGUUUUUGAAGAUUGCAGCAGUUGAAGAAGUGAGCAUAAUUUUUCAUAGAAAAUACCUGUUCUCAAUCUCUUCUGUUGGGUUUAACUAAUUGAUAAAGACCAGUUGCUUGAUUUAUUUCAUAUUUGCUUUGUACCCAGCAAUGUGUGAGUGGAUUACUGUUAUGUAAUAACUUUAUCAAUUUGAACAGUGGAUUUACAAAACUUCAGCAAUAAAAAAUGUUGCAUUUGAUACCUGUAAAA